rnacentral:rRNA from 1 species
UACAGAGGAGCCAAGCGUUGUCCGGAUUGACUGGGCGUAAAGCGCACGCAGGCGGACGCGCGCGUGGGGUGUGAAAUCUGGCCGCUUAACGGCCAGGGGCCAUCCCAUACGGCGCGUCUGGAGCGCUGCAGAGGUCGGUGGAAUUGCCGGUGUAGUGGUGAAAUUCGUAGAUAUCGAGAGGAACACCGGUGGCGAAGGCGGCCAACUGGACGAAUACUGACGCUGAGACUCGAAAGCGUGGGGAGCAAACAGG